AAAACCGGAGUCAUCCCUCUUU
rnacentral:miRNA from 1 species